rnacentral:rRNA from 1 species
GACGAACGCUGGCGGCGUGCUUAACACAUGCAAGUCGAACGGUAAGGCCCUGCUUUUGUGGGGUGCUCGAGUGGCGACGGGGGGGUAACACGUGGGUUACCCGCCCUUGACUUUGGGAUCAUCUCAAGAAACUGGGGCCUAUACCGGAUAAGGUGUUCUGGCGCCUGGGGGGGGUUGGGAAGUUUCGGGGGUUGGGGAUGGACUCGCGGCUUAUCGGCUUGGUGGGGGGGGAGGUGCUUAAGAAGGCGUUGGCGGGGUGGCCGCCUGGGAGGGUGACCAGCCACAUUGGGACUGAGGUACGGCCCAGACUCCUACGGGGGGCAGCAGUGGGGAGUAUUGCACAAUGGGGGGAAGCCUGAUGCAGCAACGCCGCGUGCGUGAUGACGGCCUUCGGGUUGUAAACCGCUUUCGCCUGUGACGAAGCGUGAGUGACGGUAAUGGGUAAAGAAGCACCGGCUAACUACGUG